UCUCCGUAGGUGAACCUGCGGAAGGAUCAUUCAUAAUAAAGUGUUUUAUGGCACUUUUUAGAAAUCCAUAUCCACCUUGUGUGCAAUGUUAGAUCUCGUCAAUCUUGGCGAGAUUUUUAUACAUCAACUCAUUCUUUAACUAAUUUGUCUGAAAAAUAUUAUGAAUACUUAAUUCAAAAUACAACUUUCAACAACGGAUCUCUUGGCUCUC
rnacentral:misc_RNA from 1 species